rnacentral:rRNA from 1 species
GGUUAACGCUGGCGGCGUGCCUAACACAUGCAAGUCGAACGGUUCUAAGCGCGAGCUUAGGAUAGUGGCGAACGGGUGAGUAAAAGGUAGGAAUCUACCCCUUGGACGGAGAUAGCUACUGGAAACGGUAGGUAAACUUCGAUAAGCCCGAGAGGGGAAAGUGGUGAGACAGCCGAGGGAUGAGCCUACUCUCCAUCAGGUAGUUGGUGAGAUAAAAGCUUACCAAGCCGAUGACGGAUAACCGGUGUGAGAGCAUGAACGGUCACAAGGGCACUGAGAGACGGGCCCUACUCCUACGGGAGGCAGCAGUGGGGAAUCUUGGACAAUGGGCGAAAGCCUGAUCCAGCGACGCCGCGUGGAGGAAGAAGUCCUUCGGGAUGUAAACUUCUGAACUAGCCGAAUAAAAGGCCUGUGGACACACAGGAGAAGAAAGUAGGCUAGGAAAAGUCCCGGCUAACUACGUGCCAGCAGCCGCGGUAAGACGUAGGGGGCAAGCGUUACCCGGAAUUACUGGGCGUAAAGGGGGCGUAGGCGGUAAAAGAAGUCAACUGUGAAAACCUAUUGCUCAACGAUAGGCUAGCGGAUGAAACUGAAUUACUUGAGGGCACCAGAGGUAGACGGAAUUACCCGAGUA